ensembl:lncRNA novel transcript, antisense to SLCO2B1
CUUAAGAAAUACCUGAUGAUGAGGCCGGGCAUGGUGGCUCACGCCAGCACUUUGGGAGGCCGAGGUCCCAAGAUAAAGAACGCCAUUCAGGAAUCGUGCAGGCAUAGCUGGACUGGAUGGACUUAUGUCAAAUGACUACAGUCAAGAUCCUGGUGCUUAGAGUGGGCAAAACCUGGAUCUCACUCCAUUGUUAAGACUGGAGGAAAAAUAUGGCUUCCCUGGUAGCUGAUGGGUCCGGAAUUGGUGGGUUCUUGGUCUCACUGACUUCAAGAAUGAAGCCACGGACCCUCGCGGUGAGUGUUACAGCUCUUAAGGUGGCGCGUCUGGAGUUUGUUCCUUCUGACGUUCGGAUGUGUUGGGAGUUUCUUCCUUCUGGUGGGUUGGUGGUCUCACUGGCUCAGGAGUGAAGCUGCAGACCUUCGCGGGGAGUGUUACAGUUCUUAAGGCGGCGCAUCUGGAGUUGUUCGUUUCUCCCGGUGGGCUAGUGGUCUCACUGGCUUCAGGAGUGAAGCUGCAGACCUUCGUGGUGUUACAUCUCUUAAGGCAGCGCAUCUGGAGUU